AUGAACGCUGGCGGCGUGCCUCAUCCAUGCCAUUCGCGCGAACGGACGAGAAGCUUGCUUCUCUGAUGUUAGCGGCGGACGGGUGAGUAACACGUGGAUAACCUACCUAUAAGACUGGGAUAACUUCGGGAAACCGGAGCUAAUACCGGAUAAUAUUUUGAACCGCAUGGUUCAAAAGUGAAAGACGGUCUUGCUGUCACUUAUAGAUGGAUCCGCGCUGCAUUAGCUAGUUGGUAAGGUAACGGCUUACCAAGGCAACGAUGCAUAGCCGACCUGAGAGGGUGAUCGGCCACACUGGAACUGAGACACGGUCCAGACUCCUACGGGAGGCAGCAGUAGGGAAUCUUCCGCAAUGGGCGAAAGCCUGACGGAGCAACGCCGCGUGAGUGAUGAAGGUCUUCGGAUCGUAAAACUCUGUUAUUAGGGAAGAACAUAUGUGUAAGUAACUGUGCACAUCUUGACGGUACCUAAUCAGAAAGCCACGGCUAACUACGUG
rnacentral:rRNA from 1 species